rnacentral:rRNA from 1 species
GAUGAACGCUGGCGGCGUGCCUAAUACAUGCAAGUCGAGCGAACGGACGAGAAGCUUGCUUCUCUGAUGUUAGCGGCGGACGGGUGAGUAACACGUGGAUAACCUACCUAUGAGACUGGGAUAACUUCGGGAAACCGGAGCUAAUACCGGAUAAUAUUUUGAACCGCAUGGUUCAAAAGUGAAAGACGGUCUUGCUGUCACUUAUAGAUGGAUCCGCGCUGCAUUAGCUAGUUGGUAAGGUAACGGCUUACCAAGGCAACGAUGCAUAGCCGACCUGAGAGGGUGAUCGGCCACACUGGAACUGAGACACGGUCCAGACUCCUACGGGAGGCAGCAGUAGGGAAUCUUCCGCAAUGGGCGAAAGCCUGACGGAGCAACGCCGCGUGAGUGAUGAAGGUCUUCGGAUCGUAAAACUCUGUUAUUAGGGAAGAACAUAUGUGUAAGUAACUGUGCACAUCUUGACGGUACCUAAUCAGAAAGCCACGGCUAACUACGUGCCAGCAGCCGCGGUAAUACGUAGGUGGCAAGCGUUAUCCGGAAUUAUUGGGCGUAAAGCGCGCGUAGCGGUUUUUUAAGUCUGAUGUGAAAGCCCACGGCUCAACCGUGGAGGGUCAUUGGAAACUGGAAAACUUGAGUGCAGAAGAGGAAAGUGGAAUUCCAUGUGUAGCGGUGAAAUGCGCAGAGAUAUGGAGGAACACCAGUGGCGAAGGCGACUUUCUGGUCUGUAACUGACGCUGAUGUGCGAAAGCGUGGGGAUCAAACAGGAUUAGAUACCCUGGUAGUCCACGCCGUAAACGAUGAGUGCUAAGUGUUAGGGGGUUUCCGCCCCUUAGUGCUGCAGCUAACGCAUUAAGCACUCCGCCUGGGGAGUACGACCGCAAGGUUGAAACUCAAAGGAAUUGACGGGGACCCGCACAAGCGGUGGAGCAUGUGGUUUAAUUCGAAGCAACGCGAAGAACCUUACCAAAUCUUGACAUCCUUUGACAACUCUAGAGAUAGAGCUUUCCCCUUCGGGGGACAAAGUGACAGGUGGUGCAUGGUUGUCGUCAGCUCGUGUCGUGAGAUGUUGGGUUAAGUCCCGCAACGAGCGCAACCCUUAAGCUUAGUUGCCAUCAUUAAGUUGGGCACUCUAAGUUGACUGCCGGUGACAAACCGGAGGAAGGUGGGGAUGACGUCAAAUCAUCAUGCCCCUUAUGAUUUGGGCUACACACGUGCUACAAUGGACAAUACAAAGGGCAGCGAAACCGUGAGGUCAAGCAAAUCCCAUAAAGUUGUUCUCAGUUCGGAUUGUAGUCUGCAACUCGACUACAUGAAGCUGGAAUCGCUAGUAAUCGUAGAUCAGCAUGCUACGGUGAAUACGUUCCCGGGUCU